rnacentral:lncRNA from 1 species
AUGGGGUGUAACUUAUGGAAAGUUUUUUUAAAAGAAGACCAGCCCCUCUUCCUCCUGCUUUCUCCCUGGAAUGGAGACAUGAUGGCUGCUGAAGCUCCUUCCAUCUUGCACCAUGAGAUUGAGUGCAUUUGGGGUUUUGACCUUGCACUGCUAUACCGAGAUUCAGCAGAGGCUAACUACCCCCAAGACUCCUUCCAGAGAACUGGGACCUCAGGAUCAUCUUCAACACCUUCACAGAGAGUACGGAGACAAAGCCCUUGCCACAGAGACCCGCCAUGCCACAACACCAGGUGGAAACGCACCAUUGCUUGAGUUGGUGAGUGAAGAGGGCCGUUGUUUGUGUUAUUUGAGGGCUGUCGAGGGAAGAGAAUUGGGUAAGCUCAUUUAGAACUUACUAGAACACUUCUCAAAAAGAUGUCUCAGCGUGGAGCAUAGUUAAGACAUAUACUUAAGAGUAAUCAUCUCCAAAUGAGUGAUUUUUGUUUUCUUGUUUAUGUCCUUAUUUACUUGAGUUGUCCUGUCUCAAGGAAUAAAGAAGGCAUUUAUGUAAUAAAAGUGGUGUGAGUCACCCUUUCAAACCUUUAAGAUUGGUUUUCAAACUGUUAAAAAUUCUUGUAGGUCCACCAUGAAAGUUGCCAUAGAAGCCUGAAGUUACCACAGCUUAUAAGGAAGUGGUUAUUGAUUAUGACGGAUGGAGAAAGUGUAAGCUGCCUGUGUUUCAUUCAGACUCAGACUAGCUCUGGUUAGAGACGUCAACUCAAAGGAGGAAAAGAGGAAGUUCUGCAAAAAUAAAUUCAAGGGUCAACUAGCAGUGGAUAAAAACACAACUAUGAUCUCUGUGACUCUUUCCUCUUUUAUCUGACAUUUUUUCACUUCUGCAUGAUAAAGAAAAUAGAGACAUGGCAUGCUGGAAAGAAAACUAAAGCUGUUUCUUUAAUUAAGUCCACUAACCUCGGAAGGAAGUCUGAAGUGUUCUUGUGGCAUCGACAGACGAAUGAUAGUAACUGCUAAGACAGAAACUACUUGGAAAAACUGUUGAUUUUAGAUUCAGAGAAAAUGAAUAAGGAAAAGUUAAAGAUUGAUGAGAAAGGGAUAAAAUGUGCUAUGAGAAUUUUUUCUAAAAUUCAUGUUUAAAAAAAAAUGAGUUUAUAAUGGAUUUUAGGUGAAAUUCCUUUAAUAAAGAGUUACAUGUUUCCUGACUAUGUAUAAGAAAUUCAUGAUUGUGACUCUGAGAGACUUGAAUAAAAGGACCCGCAUGUCUUUUGCCCUGUGAUGGCCUGCCUAAAUUGCAGGGCUAUAAAAAGGAAAACCACCUUUAAAAGUUUCAUCCCUAAGUUGACUUUGUCUUACAGAAGAAUUUCAUGUGCAUGCUAAAACACAUACAUAUAGCAUAGAAUGUAUAUAUAAUUUCCUGAUAAAAUCUUCUGUUUUAGUGUACUUACAUCUGGGUACAUAACCUCCCCAUAUCUCUUUGGUAUUCUUAUUUGUUCUGCUUUUCCAUUUUACAUAUUUUCCCCUAAGUGCCAAACAUUAAUAAAAUUGCUAGCAUUGAUUAUUUUUCCUUCACUAAUACAUCCCUUUGAGCCUGUUUCCCCAGCAACAAAUAACUGGGGACAACCUACCCUUUGCUGACACAUGAGAAUCCU